UUCUGACCUGCAUGAGGUUGGACUAGUUGCUUCCUACACUUGGUGGAAGCCCCUCAGAAAUCAGCAAUGGUGACUUCUAUGAGACAGUUGUCACAGCUAACUCUCAUGGAGCCCUCUCUGCAGCCCCGGAGCUGGGCUAAGAGCCUGUUCUGCCUCAUUCUCACAACCACCCUGAGAAGUAGGUGCUUUGUCAGCCCUGUUUUAUGCAGGUGAAAAGAGGUUCACGGAAGUUCAGCAAUUCGCUCAAGGUCGCCAAGACAGUAAUUGGUAAAGAUGAUCCCAAAUUAACUCUGAUUGAUUCAAACAUCUGCCUUGUAGCCAUGAUGCUGUUUUGCCCAGGCCUGGCUCCUCCCCCGAGACUCAUCAAAGACAGCUGAUUUGGGGGAGCAGACAGCAGCGGUGGACUCCAAGAGGAUUCUGGGAACAAGCUCAGACCAACUUACUGUGUGUGCAAAGGAGGCCAUCUUUCCCGUGACCAAAGCUGAACUCUCUGCUGCCAAGUAUGCAAAGCUUGUGGAACUCGCGGUGAUCUCAGUGGCCACGGGUGAGUCAGCCUGGUAUCUGGACCCCCCGCCAGAUUACCAGCACAGCCUUUCAGUGGGCUUCCUAGCCAUCACGAGGCACUCGUUUUUAGCAGGGAAGAAAGACUGUUGGCAAAGGACAGGAAUAGCUUUUGAACUGUUCCCCGCGUGCUAGUGUGCAACCGCCCAGGGCUGAGAAGACAGUGCACGCCCACAGCGCCCUCUGCUGGAAAGCCAGGGCAGCACCGGGGGCUUGAGCGCCAAGGCUAUCUGGGCAGACUACCGCCCUUGCUAUCCUGUUCUGCGGAAGACUAGUUGCUGAAGCCAUCAGUGUAGGGGAGAUGAAGGCUGGGCCAGCACCUGGGAGUGCCCAUGUCUUCCACCUGGAGGACCCAGGACCUUGAGAGCACCUUCCCCAGGAUGGCUGAGGAAGCCAUUGUGAAUGACCUCCUUUUGGCCGUCUGACUGGGGCUUCAGGAGCUGGGGCUGGCUGCCAUCCUAGUGCCCCUCUGCCCCUUGGGCUAAGAAAGGACCCUGACCAGAAAGUGUGACCCCGGGUAACCCAUUCUCAAUGUGUCAUGGGGAGUGUUGGCCCCUUUCUUUCUCCAGGACACUGGAUCUGGGGGAGCUGGACUUUGGGUACAGGUGAUUUGGAUUCCAGGAGAGAUUUAUGAUCAGCAGAUUCCUGGUGAUGCUCAGAAGAAAUAAGGGCAAUGGAGGCUUCGUGACAGAACUAGAGAGUGUGGAAGAGCUGAUCCAGGACCCAACUUGGUAUUUCCUCCUCAUCUCAGACCAGGAUAACGAUACAUUGAGCCCAGGGAGUUCACAUUUGAGCGAACUGGGUACCAUAGAAAGGAACACCAAGGAGCUCCAGAAACCUCAGGCACUGGUUUCUGGAGAGAACCCAAGCCCUGAGCUCCUUUUCUCCUCAGCAUGUUCUUCCCAGUGGGAGGGCUAAGCAGAGGGUUACUGCUAAUCACACACACACACACACACACACACACACACACACACCCUGUUUUUUUACAGGGGGCUUAAUAGGAGAACAAAGAUGCACAUUUCUUCCAAAGGCAGUGUGUCUCUUUCAUAUAAUUCAGGGAGGUGUUCAGGGGCCUUUGGGUCCCCUGAAGCUUUGAGCUGCAGUGGGGGCAGUGAAAGGGAACAUUGCGUGAUGUUCUCCUUUUGUCAGGACUUGCAUUUGUUUGCCUAGUGGCUUUCUCUGGCUACAAGAACCUGCUCGGCAGGGGCACCUGAGGUAGACCAGUAGCACCAAGAAAUGGGUGCCCCAGAGCGACCUCAGUGAAUGACUGAGUGGAAUUGGUGCAUACACAUCCCAUUCCAGCCCUGACACCUUAGCAGUAACCUGCUAGGUAACAUUCCCUUUAUCAGUCAUGUGGGAGGGCCACGCCGGUGGGCAGGGUUCUGUUCACUGUUUAAUUUCAGCCUGUUGCCAUGCAAGUCAUUCCUGUUAGGGCCAUUGGCCUGUUGCAGAAAUGUCUUUGGCCUAUUGGAAAUUCCUUUUUGAGUCAACUGUUCUCCCUGAAAUCUACAAAAGAAUCUCUGUCUUUGAGGAAACAACACAAAUUGCUACAGGAUUUCCAAAUGGAUGUUAUGUUUGACUUUGGGGUCAGUUUGUGUGGAUCCUAGGACAACAUGCUAUUUUUUGAAUAAAUAUAUUGAGUGAAUAAA